AUGAACGCUGGCGGCGUGCCUAAUACAUGCAAGUCGAGCGAACAGAUGAGGAGCUUGCUCCUCUGACGUUAGCGGCGGACGGGUGAGUAACACGUGGAUAACCUACCUAUAAGACUGGGAUAACUUCGGGAAACCGGAGCUAAUACCGGAUAAUAUAUUGAACCGCAUGGUUCAAUAGUGAAAGACGGUUUUGCUGUCACUUAUAGAUGGAUCCGCGCCGCAUUAGCUAGUUGGUAAGGUAACGGCUUACCAAGGCAACGAUGCGUAGCCGACCUGAGAGGGUGAUCGGCCACACUGGAACUGAGACACGGUCCAGACUCCUACGGGAGGCAGCAGUAGGGAAUCUUCCGCAAUGGGCGAAAGCCUGACGGAGCAACGCCGCGUGAGUGAUGAAGGUCUUCGGAUCGUAAAACUCUGUUAUUAGGGAAGAACAAAUGUGUAAGUAACUAUGCACGUCUUGACGGUACCUAACCAGAAAGCCACGGCUAACUACGUG
rnacentral:rRNA from 1 species